CCUUUGUACACACCGCCCGUCGCUACUACCGAUUGAAUGGCUUAGUGAGGCCUCCGGAUUGGCUUAAGAAAGGGGGCAACCUCAUUCUGGAGCUGAAAAGCUGGUCAAACUUGGUCAUUUAGAGGAAGUAAAAGUCGUAACAAGGUUUCCGUAGGUGAACCUGCGGAAGGAUCAUUAAAGUUUGCUUAAUUGCAUUACACAUGUUUUUUUAGAGAACUUGCUUGCAAGAACACUAAUAAUUUACUUAGUCAACAAAUAAAAAUAUCAAAACUUUCAACAACGGAUCUCUUGGUUCUCGCAUCGAUGAAGAACGCAGCGAAAUGCGAUACGUAAUAUGAAUUGCAGAUUUUCGUGAAUCAUCGAAUCUUUGAACGCACAUUGCGCCCUGUGGUAUUCCACAGGGCAUGCCUGUUUGAGCGUCAUUUCUCCCUCAAACCUCUGGUUUGGCGUUGAGUGAUACUCGGUUUACUUGAAAAACAUGAAAAGCAUAACUAUUAGGUUUUACCAACUCGUUAUACUAAUCUACAAGUUGACCUCAAAUCAGGUAGACAGUUUCCACAGGGCAUGCCUGUUUGAGCGUCAUUUCUCCCUCAAACCUCUGGUUUGGCGUUGAGUGAUACUCGGUUUACUUGAAAAACAUGAAAAGCAUAACUAUUAGGUUUUACCAACUCGUUAUACUAAUCUACAAGUUUGACCUCAAAUCAGGUAGGACUACCCGCUGAACUUAAGCAUAUCAAUAAGCGGAGGAAAAGAAACCAACCGGGAUUGCCUCAGUAACGGCGAGUGAAGCGGCAAAAGCUCAAAUUUGAAAUCUGCGUAAGCCGAGUUGUAAUUUGAAGAUGGCUACUUUGGUAAUGGCUCUUGUCUAUGUUCCUUGGAACAGGACGUCACAGAGGGUGAGAAUCCCGUGCGAUGAGAUGUCCAUUACCGUGUAAAGUGCUUUCGAAGAGUCGAGUUGUUUGGGAAUGCAGCUCUAAGUGGGUGGUAAAUUCCAUCUAAAGCUAAAUAUUGGCGAGAGACCGAUAGCGAACAAGUACAGUGAUGGAAAGAUGAAAAGAACUUUGAAAAGAGAGUGAAAAAGUACGUGAAAUUGUUGAAAGGGAAGGGCUUGAGAUCAGACUUGGUAUUUUGUAUGGCUUGCUUUCGGGCGGGUCCUCUGCAGUUUACUGGGCCAGCAUCGGUUUGGGUGGCAGGAUAAUAGCAUAGGAAUGUGGCUCUACUUCGGUGGAGUGUUAUAGCCUUUGUUGAUACUGCCUGCCUAGACCGAGGACUGCGUCUUUUGACUAGGAUGCUGGCAUAAUGAUCCUAAGCCGCCCGUCUUGAAA
rnacentral:rRNA from 1 species